rnacentral:rRNA from 1 species
GAGUUUGAUCGUGGCUCAGGACGAACGCUGGCGGCGUGCUUAACACAUGCAAGUCGAACGAGAAUCUACUGAAAGAGUUUUCGGACAAUGGAAGUAGAGGAAAGUGGCGGACGGGUGAGUAACGCGUGAGGAACCUGCCUUGAAGAGGGGACAACAGUUGGAAACGACUGCUAAUACCGCAUGAUGCAUAAGGGUCGCAUGAUUCUUAUGCCAAAGAUUUAUCGCUUCAAGAUGGCCUCGCGUCUGAUUAGCUAGUUGGCGGGGUAACGGCCCACCAAGGCGACGAUCAGUAGCCGGACUGAGAGGUUGAACGGCCACAUUGGGACUGAGAUACGGCCCAGACUCCUACGGGAGGCAGCAGUGGGGAAUAUUGGGCAAUGGGCGCAAGCCUGACCCAGCAACGCCGCGUGAAGGAGAAGGCUUUCGGUAUGUAAACUUCUAUCAGCAGGGAAGAAAAUGACGGUACCUGACUAAGAAGCCCCGGCUAACUACGUGCCAGCCGCCGCCGUAAC